rnacentral:snRNA from 1 species
UCGUUCGUCUGACUUGGGUA